rnacentral:rRNA from 1 species
UACGUAGGUGGCAAGCGUUAUCCGGAUUUAUUGGGUUUAAAGGGUGCGUAGGCGGCAUUAUAAGUUAGUGGUAAAAUAUUGGGGCUUCACCUCACUACGCCAUUAAUACUGUAGAGCUAGAGAACAGACGAGGUAGGCGGAAUAAGUUAAGUAGCGGUGAAAUGCAUAGAUAUAACUUAGAACACCGAUAGCGAAGGCAGCUUACCAGACUGAGUCUGACGCUGAGGCUCGAAAGCGUGGGGAGCAAACAGG